CUUAUUUGCCCUGUAGCGUAUAGACAUUAAACUUAAUACUAAUCUUGUGGCUGUAAUGACUGACAGCCAAUAGUCAUUUUGAACCCUCGUAUCUGCAAAAUCUGACCGUCUGUUAGACAGGAACUGACCAGUGUUUCUGCUUGACUGUGCACCCAUCAGCUCCUGCCGUGUUCGUCUUUAUUUUUGGAAGGAGGGAUCACGUUACGGCCCUGAGAAGACCCCUCUGACAGGAAGUCGCCCGGCGGGACACCGCGUUGUCUCUCACUGGCUCAGGCCCUGAGCUAAGCUCACCCUCGGGGUGAAUCAUAUACACACAGACACGCUGUGGAAACACUGGUUAAACUCCAGCUGAACUUCACAUCAAUAUCCUCAUGACCUCGCCGUGCUAAUAAGAGCAGCACGCUGCUUGUGGUGAGUUCUCAUGGGCAGCUGAGGAAGAGCGCUGUGGUAAAAUGCAUUGAUACCAUAUUCAAAGGGAGGCCUGACUUGGGAAUAGUUUUGCAUUUACAUACACCUCUUCAGCUUGCCUGCACCCAGAUCUUUUGGAUCCACAAAUAGCAUGUGGAAGGAAGCUUUCCUGUACACAUAGCCAAGCGAAGGAAGAGAGAUGAAAAGGGAGAGAAAGUGAGGAGGAGGAGGAGGAGGGGCAGGGGGAGAACAUAAGAAAGCAUAGGAGCUGCUGGCAAGCCUUGGUGCUUUUAAUUGGUUCCAAGUGUCCCAGAUUUCCCUGCACUGGAGAGCUCCUCUGGUCCUCCUCUCUGGAGCUCUUCUGGAAUGGCCUCCGUAGCAGCAUGCACUCCAUUUGCCCCUGGAUUCUUUAUUGUUAUUAGGCGAUUUCCUGGGGAACUUCUGGAUGGCAGUACAGUGCAGGAGUUGUUUUGGCUGGCUCAUAAUGGAGCGACAGAGAGAAAAUCCAACAACCAAACAAACCAAACCCAACGUCAGUCCCCAGGUUUCUCUCAUUCAUCACCGCGAGGGGCCAGACCUGUGAAUGCACAUUCAGAGACCCCCAACCCUCCUGCUGAGAGCGAGCAGACCACCAUGCAGAAACCUCCACGUCUCUGGAUCUCCUCCCAUCCUGUUUCCCCACUGCCUGGCCCUGAUAAGUCGUCUUGGUCGGGAGGAACAGCGAUGGCCUUUGCCUGAGUCAACGGAAAUGGAGGAAACAGAAUUCCUUACGUGACAACGAAAAACACAAUGGAGACAGGAAACAUUGAUGUGGAGAGGACGAGAAAGAAUGAGACAAGAACAGAUAGUAAGAGGAGCCGUUUGUCUAUAAUUAAGUUUCUCCAAGUCUUGAGUGCAUGGGGACAUGAACUCUUUAAGUCCAGCGGUUCUCAGAUGGUUUUGCUUCAGAACCAGGUUUCACAUUGGACAUCAAGUAGCAACCUAAAACAGUACUUUUUUUUUUCCAGAUAAAUAAAUAAAAUAAAUUGAAGUGAUAAUACUAAUAA
ensembl:lncRNA